rnacentral:rRNA from 1 species
UACGUAGGGUGCGAGCGUUGUCCGGAAUUAUUGGGCGUAAAGAGCUUGUAGGCGGUUUGUCGCGUCUGCUGUGAAAAUCCGGGGCUCAACCCCGGACUUGCAAUGGGUACGGGCAGACUAGAGUGUGGUAGGGGAGACUGGAAUUCCUGGUGUAGCGGUGAAAUGCGCAGAUAUCAGGAGGAACACCGAUGGCGAAGGCAGGUCUCUGGGCCACUACUGACGCUGAGAAGCGAAAGCAUGGGGAGCGAACAGG